AUCCUUUUGUAGUUCAUAAGUUUGAUGGUGGGGUUUUCACACUCAUAUGUGAGAUAUACCUCCCUCAAGCUUUGCUACAACAUUGGCACAUUACCUGUCUGACA